AGCCAUACCACCAUCCUGGCUUGCCUGGGACUGAGGGAUUCAUAGUUAAAACCAGGAAAGCCUUGGGCAAACUGGGAUGAGUUGAUCAUUCUACC
rnacentral:miRNA from 1 species